GGGCGUUUGGCACAGUGGUAGCGCGCACGCUUUGCAUGCUCUCUCAACAAUCAUAUGCGUGAGGUCGAGGGUUCAAACCCCUCAACGUCCA